GAUGAACGCUGGCGGCGUGCCUAAUACAUGCAAGUCGAGCGAACAGACGAGGAGCUUGCUCCUUUGACGUUAGCGGCGGACGGGUGAGUAACACGUGGGUAACCUACCUAUAAGACUGGGAUAACUUCGGGAAACCGGAGCUAAUACCGGAUAAUAUUUCGAACCGCAUGGUUCGAUAGUGAAAGAUGGCUUUGCUAUCACUUAUAGAUGGACCUGCGCCGUAUUAGCUAAUUGGUAAGGUAACGGCUUACCAAGGCAACGAUACGUAGCCGACCUGAGAGGGUGAUCGGCCACACUGGAACUGAGACACGGUCCAGACUCCUACGGGAGGCAGCAGUAGGGAAUCUUCCGCAAUGGGCGAAAGCCUGACGGAGCAACGCCGCGUGAGUGAUGAAGGUCUUCGGAUCGUAAAACUCUGUUAUUAGGGAAGAACAAACGUGUAAGUAACUGUGCACGUCUUGACGGUACCUAAUCAGAAAGCCACGGCUAACUACGUG
rnacentral:rRNA from 1 species